rnacentral:rRNA from 1 species
CCCUUAGAUGUCCUGGGCCGCACGCGCGCUACACUGAGUGUCUGAGAUACGAGUCUGCCUGGUCAGGCAAGGUCUAGGUAAUCGCUAAAAGACACAUCAUGCUUGGGAUAGAUUAUUGCAAAUAUUAAUCUUGAACGAGGAAUUCCUAGUAAGCGCAAGUCAACAGCUUGCGUUGAUUACGUCCCUGCCCUUUGUACACACCGCCCGUCGCUACUACUGAUUGGAUGUUUAAGCGAGGUUCUCGAACUGCUAGCGACUUAGCUUCGGUGAGGUCGCAGUGUGGGAAGUGAACCUAGCUUUGGUGUCUAGAGGAAGUAAAAGUCGUAACA